UACGUAGGGCGCAAGCGUUGUCCGGAUUUAUUGGGCGUAAAGAGCUCGUAGGCGGUUUGUCGCGUCGGCUGUGAAAUCCCGAGGCUCAACUGCGGGUCUGCAGCCGAUACGGGCAGGCUAGAGUUCGGUAGGGGAGACUGGAAUUCCUGGUGUAGCGGUGAAAUGCGCAGAUAUCAGGAGGAACACCGGUGGCGAAGGCGGCUCUCUGGGCCGAUACUGACGCUGAGGAGCGAAAGCGUGGGGAGCAAACAGG
rnacentral:rRNA from 1 species